ACAAUUAUAUAUACACAUAUACAGAAGUCUGAUCGUAGUUUCAAAUAUGAGCAAGGAAAGUUGUGUGAGUGGUGUACCACACCAGAUUUUUCUUUAGUUAUCAAAAUCGAGUGUCUGUCUCGUUCAUAAAAUUAUUAUAUACAAUAUUUAUAGUGUUGAACUUCAACCACAGCUGUUAAGCUAUUGAAGUUCUUUUCUUCAUUUUCCAUCAUGAUACUGUUUUCCCUAAUAAUUACAUUGUAAAAACAUUUGUAAAACAUGUUGUGAAUAAAAUUUCAGUUUCAGUUUUUCAGUUUCAAUUGGCUGUCUGAUAUAUGGGAGGAAUGAUCUCGAACAGGAAGCGAACCUAGGCAGGACGAUCUAAUCGCACAGAUUAGAUGAGCGCCGUGCUUUCGAUUCUCAUGUUGAUUGGGCUUCUGCUUGAUUGUAUUAUUUGGAUGAUUCCUUGUUUUCUCUCAUUAUAAUUUUCACCAACACAAUUAUGCUCAUGACUUCCAAACGGCUUUAUCUACGUUUAUUCCAAAGUCAUCUUAUCGACUACGCCAUUUAUGAUUUACAAAUGCAGUCAGAUCAUAUGUCGAUUUCUAUUUGUUCUAUAACUCAAUUUUUAAAGAAUAAUAUGAGUUAACCUUUUGUAAUAUGAAUAAUUAUUGUUGAGCUAUUUUAGUGGGUUCCAUCACCUUGUAUUACCACAUGGUAAAAACCAUAUUCUUGCUAAUUUUUGUAUUAUAACAAUAAAAGGUAAAGUUGUGGUACCGGUACUUGAUCUCUUUGAAGCAUUUGAUCUGCUUUCAUGCCAGCCAGCUAUUAAUAUAAUAAAUUAUAUAAUUCAUUCAAUAAUACAUGUUGAAUAUUUUGUAACAUCCACUUGUAUAUUGUGAUAUUUAUUUAAACUCUGUUCGUUCUUUUAUUGUAAAAAUGCACUUUUUAUCAAAACUCUUUAGAAAUUUUUAUUUUGAUAUUCUGUAAAACUUUCAUGUUUAUAGUUUUAUUUGUUUCUGUUAGUUGUUUCUAUUGUGAACAUGCAUUUUGUAUCCAAAUCCUAUCAAAAUUAAAUAAUGCAAAGCUAGUGGA